rnacentral:rRNA from 1 species
CAUAUCAAUAAGCGGAGGAAAAAGAAACUAACAAGGAUUCCCCUAGUAACUGCGAGUGAAGCGGGAAAAGCUCAAAUUUAAAAUCUGGCGGUCUUUGGCUGUCCGAGUUGUAAUCUAGAGAAGUGUUAUCCGCGUUGGACCGUGUACAAGUCUCCUGGAAUGGAGCGUCAUAGAGGGUGAGAAUCCCGUCUUUGACACGGACUGCCAGGGCUUUGUGAUGCGCUCUCAAAGAGUCGAGUUGUUUGGGAAUGCAGCUCAAAAUGGGUGGUAAAUUCCAUCUAAAGCUAAAUAUUGGCGAGAGACCGAUAGCGAACAAGUACCGUGAGGGAAAGAUGAAAAGAACUUUGGAAAGAGAGUUAAACAGUACGUGAAAUUGCUGAAAGGGAAACGCUUGAAGUCAGUCGCGUUGACCAGGGAUCAACCUUGCUUUUGCUUGGUGCACUUUCUGGUUAACGGGUCAGCAUCAAUUUUGACCAUUGGAAAAAGGUCAGGGGAAUGUGGCAUCUUCAGAUGUGUUUAUAGCCCUUGGUUGCAUACAAUGGUUGGGAUUGAGGAACUCAGCACGCCGAAAGGCCGGGUUUUUAAACCACGUACGUGCUUAGGAUGCUGGCAUAAUGGCUUUAAUCGACCCGUCUUGAAACACGGACCAAGGAGUCUAACAUGCCUGCGAGUGUUUGGGUGGAAAACCCGAGCGCGCAAUGAAAGUGAAAGUUGAGAUCCCUGUCGUGGGGAGCAUCGACGCCCGGACCAGACCUUUUGUGACGGUUCCGCGGUAGAGCAUGUAUGUUGGGACCCGAAAGAUGGUGAACUAUGCCUGAAUAGGGUGAAGCCAGAGGAAACUCUGGUGGAGGCUCGUAGCGAUUCUGACGUGCAAAUCGAUCGUCAAAUUUGGGUAUAGGGGCGAAAGACUAAUCGAACCAUCUAGUAGCUGG